GAGCAACCUAAGAGCAGCAACUGGCGGAUCUUUGGACCUGGAUGGAUACAGAAAUUGAGGGGGUAAAACAUUACGCCUCCCCUCCCCCCAUCUUUGACAGCGUUUAUAUGAAACGGUUAUCGACGUAGGUGCAGUAAGUUGAAAAGUCCUCAAUCAUGAUAUAUCGGAACGCAAAAGUUCUCGUUGCACGAGAAUUUGUACACGGAUCGUGACGCGUGUUUCAAUUGCUCCACGGUCGAAAUAUCGAGGACCGUCGAUCAUUUUAACAGCGUUAUUGCCUCGACCCGCCGAUGUUAAUGGUCGUUAUCUAAAUUCGUACGCGGAGGCAAUCGCGUGUAACAUGCGACACUCUAGCGGACCUCGCGCCACGAUGUAUCAAAAUGUCUGGACGAUCAUCGCCAAGGUGGAUGAUCGCCAAAGUAAAUCGUCGCGAACGAACGACUUGCGCGAGUUGCAUUGAACCGUCUUACGUCAACGUGUGCGUUGACGUAAUUUCGGCCGGUCUCGCGACACGUUCGACGUGCUUUUUCGGACGCGCAUUUCGGGGGUGAGUUUCACAGACGCAAAGCGUCUGUACACGAGGAAUGUUUAUCGCUCGGACGGAUUACAGGUCUCCACGUCGGCGCGUAGAUGGCGGUAGAAUGCGCUCUCGGAUUUAAAAGUUACCGUUCACGGAAUUUCAACGGAGCGAGACAUCGAUCCGCCGAUUUCGUCGCCUAAUCCCGUGGGCACGAAAUCCGGAUAAGAAGUAGCCGGAAGUUCUUAAUCCUCCAUCGGUUGCGAUGUGUCGGGCAACAAAGUCGGUUGCAGCGUGCACUUCUGCGAGAUAAAUCGUAGACUAAAGUACGAAGCCGAGAGGGUGCAAUGUACAGGAACUGUCAAAAGUGUCAAAGUGAAUAAACCGAACAAUUGUUAUCCUUCGGUACACAUUUAUGUCCCAUUCGGUCCUUAUUGAUCCGCGUAUAAGAGUACUUAUAUCGUAACGAAUUUAUUUCCUCCUUCACUCAUCUCAUUAAUUCACUCCAAAAAGCAGAAACAUUUUGCUUUUCAUAAGAGAGACACAAACAAACGCAGGGUGAUGAAGCUCGAAAAUGAAAACGUUUGCCGGAUACUAUCAUCGCUCGAUCGCUUGUCAAUUUGCUCAGGAGAGAAUUCCCGCUUUCCGUACUUCGCAUCUCCCGCCGGCGAAUUUUAGGAUUAACGAUUUAAAUAGUUUCGUGCGUGUCGCGACGGCGAUAAUUGAAAUUCAUUGUUCCGCGACAUUUUCGGGGCCAAAGUACGCGCGCGCUCUCUCUUCCUACCCCCUCCGGAAAACCGGGGUUGGUUUUUUUCACGCCGCGUUCGCCCCGUUUUUCCGCUGGUCGUCGGAUUACGGACGGCCGCGUUUUAUCGGUCGGCCCGCGGUAAUUAACAACGGACGAUAAUUAAUUCGAUUGGAUCUCGCGCAGCACCGUCGAUUCGAUGCGUUUCGCCAACGGCGAUGCCGGAGAGGGAUGCGGUGCGAGUCGAUAUACGCGCCGCGCCGACAAUCCCGGCUUAUGACGCCUCUCGCCUCGCUCCGCGGCUCUUUGAGUAGCCUUUCAAAAAGGGCUCAAUAUCGUGAUAUUAAAACGCACGAUAAUCGCACGGCACGUUGAGGUCUCCGGUGAAAUAAUAGACGGCUCGGUCGUUUGAUCGAGCGCCGCGUAAAAUCGCGUUGGCCGACUCUCUCGAUCGAAAGUGCCAGUCACCAUCUUCGAUUCGACGAAUGAAAGAAAAUAGGGCAGAAACGAGGAACGAGGAUCGAGAAAAGAAAAGACAUUUGUUAUUUCUUACGCACUUUCGAACGAAGACCAGGAUCUUUUUGCGCACGCAUACACAAAGACAGAAAUACGUUUCAGAAGUAUCUUCUGUCUUUGUAUGCAGGAAACAUAGAUACGUUAGUAGCUAUUGAGUUAAGUACGACCGACAAUAAAUCUGGCAUGUGUGAUAGAAAUUUCGCGAGGGACAAUAAUUCGUUUCCGAUCGCUGUUAUGUGUAAAAGCGGUAAAUCACAGAAAUCACAGAAGAGAACGCGAGGCAGAAAAUUGUUUGCUUCGUUAUUUCGUGUAAUAUUUAAUUAACAGCCGUGUAUUGCAUUUGCAACAAAUGGAUGCCAUCUCGAUAAUGAACCUUAUCAAUUAUUACUGCAGCCGAUGAGUCGAUAAAGUAUCUAUACAGAGCGUAACGCGAAGCUUCUCUUUUUGCGAACACUUGUGUUUUGCACAGUACGAUCAGAAUCCUCUCGAUGAAAAUGAGUAAACUAGCAUAAAUAAAUCUAAUUUCUAGAUAUUUAUCGUGCUUCAUUUACGGAGUAAUUGCGAUUGCAUUUAUGAGAUUGAAGAGUCUGGAACGGUAUUUCAAAUGCAGCAUUUUCGUUCGUAAAGUGGAUAACAGGCGCCGCGUUAUUAAGUUCCAAAAAAAACGGAUUUUGUGUGGGAAUCGAUAUGGAACAAUUAGUAGUUAAUAGAUAAUUGCCGCUGGAGCUCGAACCAAAUUGCGCUCAUUGCGCUUUGCUGGAUAUAAUGACACGCACGAUGCACGUACACGGUGGCGACUUUGAUCAGGUUUUUCACUCACAUAAAUUGAAUUCGGAAUUAUUUUUUUCAUUUCCAUAUUAAAUAUCUUGUAAAUAAAGCUUUUAAUUGAAUCAUUUCUUUUUUUGAGGUUGUCUGAAUAAAAAGAUCCAGUCAUUCAAUUGCAUUAUUAAUUCUUGAACAUGAAAAUUCUCUUGGCGGUGCAUAAUUUCAAAUAUAAUUUUAUGCGUUGAAAUAAUUAUUACUUGAAUUGCGAACUACGCGGUGUGUAAUGUUUUGAAUGGCGAAUGCAACUUUAUACAGAGACACCCCAUAUGUCCGUUGAUACGCGAUCGGUGCAUUAGCGGCAUUACCAUAUGGAAUCGUGAACGGAGUCCCAGAGAUUUUGCCGCGAUCGCAAUUUGCAUGAUUGAUUGCCCUAAAGCUCCUCCGGCUUUUAGCUCCUAGGUGAUACUCUUGUUUCCAUUAGGAAUUAGUCGCUCCAUAGAAUGCAAAAUGCAUGCGCGUUUAAUUUCGCGAUUGCAACGCGUCCAAUCCGUUCGCGAAUUCCUAAACCGCUACGUGUUCCAAACAAAAAAAGGAGAAAAUUACUAUAUCGUUGAUUUGAUAUAAUUGCGUAAUUUAUACAAAGCAAUAUUUGAAAAGACGCAAAUAUUACGUUAUUUAACAAAUUUUGAUGAAAUUUCGUGACAUGAAUUUCGGAAAAAAAGAUUCGUUACUGGUAGAGAGAUGAUUUCCUUUGUUAAACACGAGGAUUCUUUCAUAUAUUUUGAAAUAAGAACAGAAUUGUAGAAUUAAAACGAAAAGAAAAGCGGAAUAAUCUGAAUAAUCCGCACCGAAGACCCGUUUAACUUUAUCGAGCGAAGGGACGCGAUAAACUUCUUAUCUCAAUCUUUCCCCUCAUCUUUUUUUCAGCUUUCUCCGCAAUUGCCCUCGUCACCGUAAUUACUCUCAAUGAUAAUAACCAAGUGACCACCGGAUGUACGCGAACGGUACGCAGAGUAACUCCAAUUUGAUAAAUUUCGAUCUGCGAAAACUCGAGGCUAGGUAAAAGUGUCCACUAGAUGCAAAGAUUUCAAGAUCGCCCUGAAAAUCACGUUUUAAUCCGAGACGCACUUUCGAGACCGAGACUUUAAUGAAUCUGCGCGGCGAAACGACGGGAACGGCGAGCAGGCACUUCGAGAGCGGUGAGUUGAGGCGAUUUUUUUUUCCCCGGACAUCGCUCUCACGUUGCGCGUCGAGGCGUCCUCGUGGGACUCGAAGGAAGGAACGGGCGCGUUCGCGACGGCGUUCCUCCGUGUCCGCGUGCCACCCACCCCGUGUGUCCUGGUGUCUUGUUCCCGUAUUACAUUCUUGUCGCGGGUAAGACAAGUAAGACAGAAACUGCAGCCGUAAUCCGAGGCGACACGAUCCGGUAAUGCCGUCGCACCGGCUGUAAUUUCAGAUUGGCAUUCGCCCGCGAUUUAAUCGCGCCUCGACGUCGCGCUUGUUCGCCCGCGUCUCGUGAAUUAGCUCGACAGUACGCGUCGCGGCGCCCGCUGCCAUUCACUCGAUUUUCGAAUUUCGCCCACGAUUUCCAUCUGCUCCUCUCUGCGACGGUAACGAGAUCGCGGAAAUCGGAUUACCGCACCGUCGGCCAACACGCUUCGGAAAUGCUCGCGCGGAAGAAGAACCAGGAGAUUUUGCGAAUUGUGUACAUUCCUUCUUUGCAGGGAUUACUGUUAAUGGAUGAGAAAGUCGACGCGUGAUCGUAACUCUUUUCGUAUAGACGCGGUUUUCGAUAGUCAGUUGCGUUUCCGAGAUUUAUCGAUAGAUUAUAUAAUAAUGAUUCAUUUUUAAGUUCACAGUAUGACUGAAUUUUCCGAAAUUUCCGGAAGACAAGUUAGAGUGCCGAUAAAGGGCAAUAAAAAGGAAAGAUCUUCAUCUUUUUAUUUGACGCACAUUUUCGCUAGAUAUUCCGCUACGGAUUUGAUUUUACGAGAUUCUUUUACGACGCAGUGAUGCAAGGAAAAAAAUUCUCUGCUAGCAAGACCCGAAUGUAAUAUCGAUGUUUUGUCUCGUGACACUUUAUUACAGCAUGCAUCCAAUUACGAGGCGGUACGCGUAAGCACGUAAAACACGUCCGCGGGAGCCAUCUCGUCCCUACGCGCUUUGGCCACGAGGCUCGUUACGUCGCAGAUUAUUUUUUAUGUUGUAAUUAUGAAAAACUGUUAUGCUUUACAAUGGCGCACGUAGACCGCCGUUGCAGGACCCUUACACGCAUUUUGUUGCAUUUUGUAUAUCUUGAUAAUAUAAUUUUUCUAAUUAACAUCAUGGAGCAAUUCAAAUUCAGUAAAAAGACAUUGACUUUUUGUAUUAAGCCUUUCGAUCAAUUACAUUUACGAGAUAACUAUCACUCAAGAUAAGCACACAAAACUUGUAAACUUGCUAAUACGCAAUUCUACGAUUGAGAUUCCAGGGGUUUUUACGAGAGUCCGUCGAAACCUGUAAAAUUUUCACUGCAAUCGAGUCGAAAAUCGAAGGCGAAAUCCGUUUAGGGAUUUUCCAUUUCUCGAUGAUACCAACAAUCUCGUGUCGUGAAAUCGCGGCGUCUCGAAGCGUACGGAGUCACGGGAGCGGUGAUACGAUACGCGCAGCUCGUAAAAAAUAAAUCGCGGGCAUCACGUUGCCGAGGACGACGACGACGACGACGUCGUCAAUCCGCGUCGCACUCUUUCGCCGACCCGGCCGGCGGAUUAACCGGAUAAGUCUUAAACGUUUCCGUGCGCGCAAUCCCGUGACUUACGCGGCGGAUGUCGAAGCGGACGCGAGCGGGUACUAACCGGGGCAUCCUGACGAGCGGAUUAAACGACGGUACGUGCUCCGCUCGUGUUUUGAUCGUCGAAGUAGCCGUCGGGAUACGAGCACGGGGUGCAACGCGUACCCGCGCCGCUCAAGAGGACCCUGAAGAAGGAGAGGGCCAGGGAGAGAGCAGCACGGGAAGGGAGACAGAAUAGCGUUUGUUGUCCCGGAGCAGCGCUCUAUAAAAGCUAUCACGGUGCGGAAACACGCGGUGAUAAGCGAUAUAAACGUAGCAUAAACGACGGCCGUAUUCUCGCUUCCAUUUAAUUUCGUAAAUAUCGCGAGAUUUAGUUGGCGUUUUACCCGGGAGGAAAAUUGGGACGCGAGCACCUGUGCGCAAUCUGUUGCAAGAAAGUAAGCGACGUUCGAAGAAUAGUGAUGGAAUAACUUGCGAUGCGAAUGGUAGAUUCUUCUUUUUCUCCUUACAUCGAUCGUGCACAUUUCUACUUUGGUAAUAACGCAUUUGUUGAAAGUGCAAACGAUCCGCUGGAGAAUCCGUAAGAGACACUCGUCAACGAUACUGACGAUAUUCGGAAUGUUUACGGGCGGAUAAAUUCGUAGGGAAUGAAACGGGGGUGCGGACGCGGCUCACAUGAUCCAAAUCCUCGGCGUUCCGUCGACAACGUGUUCACCUGGAAAGUAAAGGAAAGCGCGGGCGUCGUGGGAGAGCGCGGUCGCUCUCCGCUUAACCUGUCGGCUUAGCGCGAGAGUUCCGCAGGAUAGAUUGCUUUAAUUUAAGUGGAGUUAGGCUAACAGCUCGAACCCCCGGCACGCAUACUACCCCCGUGAGUUGGGUUACCGACGGCGAGUCCGGCGUCCGGGCUUAAUUCGACCCUCCUCCGCCCUUUCGCUCUGCCGCCCUCCCGUCGCUCUCUCCCGUCCUUCGCUUUCACGGAGGUCUCUUCUUUGCCCCUUCUGACAGCUCGGGCUUAACCCCCUCCCUUCCAGAUUAGUCCUACACUCGCGAGAGGGCAUGGAGGCCGGGUGAGUGGGCGCGGAGAAGGGCUGAAAAGGGGCUCGAAAGGUGGCCGGGGACUAUGUGGAUCAUUCGAUAUCCACUCUCGCCGUUAAGGCAAAAUCGAACCUGGCCGACUGCAAUAUCCGCAUCCACUCGAACCCUCCUCCCCCGCUGCCGCCGCCACCGUCUCCUCCCUUCUCCUUCAUCCCCCUUACGAAACCGCCGGCUUUCAUGCUCUCGUCUCGCUCCGUGCCCGCUUACCCCACUCUCUUCGGGCUUUUUUCACCCCGGCCCUUUCUCCCGCCCCCUUUUCCAUCUUCUCGUUCCGUUCUAUUUCGACGGUGGCGGUCGUUACCGCCGCGAGCUCUGUGCAGACUCUCUCCCCGAUUCGGCUCUCAAGAGCCCGCCUCGCCGAGUGAAUUCCGUACGCGGGCUCGUAACAAUCGAGCCGUCGCUCGGAAAUCAGAGUAGUGCGAGUCGUUCGGAUUAAGUUCGUGUCGAUUAAGGAUGCAAUUUGACGACGGAAAUCGUGAACGUCGAGUGAUCUUACAGCGCGUACAACGACUCGAGAGAUGUCGAUUUAUUAACAAUAUUUCGCAUAUUUACCGUGACAGCUACGUAAGCAAUGUUAUCAGAUUUAAUUGGUAUCUAACAAUUCAGAAAUUGUGUCACGUAAGAACGACUGAAAUGUUUCAGAAUUAAUCCCGUUAUGAUAUAUCUCGCAUAUGUUUCAUAUGCAUCGUAUCGUUUAUGUAUAAUUUCUUGCGUAAUUUAUAUAAUAAUUUAUGCGGUAAUUAAUCCUUAUCUAAUUAUCAUCGUGAAUUAUACUAUGACUGUUUUCUCUCUCUCUCUCUUUCUCUCUUUCUCUUUCAAACGAUACAUAUCACUCCGAUUUUCAACUCAGCUCAAGUGUUUGCGCAACGAGAACCGCGUAAAUUUUUCAGCGGUGUGAGAAUCGUCCGUAUCGGCAUUCAUCUGUAUCGGUAGUUCGCGCGUAUCGAUUUUGCCCACGAAAAUCCCGCGGGAAUUAAAUAUUUAUACAGCGAAUUUGGGCACGGCGCCUCGUUGAAUGUGAAACGCGAGCUCGCGCGCGCACACCCGGAAAUAGCCGGAACGAAAAGUGCAAUGAAAUGUCUCGCGCUGACGUGCACGGUAAUCUCGCCUCUGAAAAUAGCGUCUAAUCCGGGAUGCUAAAUCAGACGGUAUAAAUUAAAAUAGUUUAACAAGCGUACGUAAAGUUAUUUGAUGCAAAUGCGUGACAAGUUGGACAGAACCAUUUGUGAAAAGAUUAUUUUCCGAUUUACAAAUGUUAUUAACUCUGUCGAUAUUUAUUUCUAUUUUUCAUCUUUAUUCGGCAAAACUUCCCUUUUGCGAAUAACAAUUAAGUUCCUGCUUUUACCGUUAUUUGCACACCAUGUCCCGAAUAUCUGCGCUAUUCAUCCAAGAUAGGAAACAAUUACGGGAGUUCAAGGACUGAAUGCUAAAUUAUAAAUACGACAAACAGUUAAAUAAUAAUUAAAAGCUCAUUUGUCAUUCGCGGUCGAUAUCGAUGGCGCUAUUACCAUCAGUUUCAUGGAAUUAUCAUAGCAAAAAGUCAUUCAAAAAAUAUAACGUAUAAAAAGAUGAAAAUCGACAGCCUGACCGACAUAACUCGCCGUCGUAAAUCAAACGGUAUUCGCGAACGCACAUUUAACCGGGUGCUAUACACGGCAUAAAUAUUUCAAUCCCCGGCAGGGCAAGGCCGACAUUUGUCGCGCGUCGGUUGACACGAGCAAAAUUCACAAAUUACAGUUUCCGAGGCUUAGAUUUGAAGGCGGGUAGAGCGCGGGGCUUUAGGGCAAUUUUUUUCUGGCAACGUUCCACCCCCGUGGAUCAUGGGCGCGAUUGGAGGGGAGGAUUGGAGGGGUGGCGACGAUUCAGGAAAUGAAACCAUUAACUGCACCAUCCCCGUUACUUGUUUAACAUUUUUGCAGCAAAAGCUCGCUAUAUCAUCGCUGUAUUUGGAAGUGUUUUCGGAUCGGUCGCGUCAGCUUUCAGUUCCGUUAUCUGGAUGAAAUACAUUGAAAAGUGCAAACAUUGUGAGAUCAACAACAAAUGUGAAUGGAAAUGCACGAGAAUUUUGAAACGCCGUGCGCGAAUUUAGCGGUAUAAUCGAUUUUGCUGAAGCUGUACUUUUAACUGAGUUUCCCUUCUUGUAAAAAGCUAAGAAUAGUUUUCAAAAACAAAGCGAUAAUUAUUUAUUCGAAUUAUUAAUGGCCUAAUUUAAUAGUUUAACGUUUCCGUGCUCAGCUUUAAAAUCUAUUUUUUCUGUUUUAAUUUUUCAUCACAAGCUUUUUCACUCGUUCUCUCUCUGAUCCAUGGUACUAUACCAAUGAUACUGCGUUACAGCAUAAAAUGAAAUUCCUCACAUUUUGCCUAACAGCUGGCUCUACUCACAAAGAGUUCUUAUGUCACAGUUUAAUUGAUGGUAUAAAAAAAGUCUUAAGUGCCCUGAAUAUUGUCUCAGGAUGUCCGCGUUACAUUAAUUCACUCGAGGGACAAGUGAUAAUUUUUGCAUUUAUUUUGUACAUUUUUAUAUUUGACAUCUUUAUCGUGUAUAUUCACGAAAAAUACAUUCCCAGUAUAGUUUCAUGAAUUUGGCGCGCAAAGAUCUUUUUCAAUGAAAACACAAAUUUUUAUAUAUAAUAGAAUUUUAUUAUUAAUAAAUAAUAAAAUUUCCGGUGACUCUUUUUCACAUGUAGCAAGUGAAAGCCAUCUCGACAAAUUUAGAGACGAGACAGUACUUCGCGCGCGAUAAUCAAAUCGGCGCGAAGAGAUAUCAUAACCACCGUUCUCCGAAGACCGAAUCAUUCGCAUGAGAUGCGAGGGGUAGCACGCAGAGGGAUGAUCCACCAUCGGCGCGGCAACAUUAAUUCACUAUGCUUUGCUAGCGGCGAUCAUUAUGAGCCGCGUCGUGACGUAAUCGCGUCAUGACAAAUGACAUUUGUUCGCUGCUUUCGCGAUAAUUUAUUUAACGAACGAAUUGGGUCAUUACGAAAACGCGUGAAUUAUUCACGAGGGGGAUUUUGAAAAAUAAAAUGCGGGACGGUGCGAUUCUCUCGGGUGUAAUAUAACGUCACGCUGAUAUUUUAUGUAAUUUCUCUUUCUCUUUUUAUGGGUCAGUCUUAAAUUUUCUACAAUAUGCGAUUAUCGUGACGUGUCCUUCAUUAACGUGUCUGUUAUUAAUGUAAAAUUUAUCAGUUCUAUUCUAGAAUAAUCAUAAAUAUUGAAAAUCGAUAGAUUGUACAUCAAUUUAAUGAUUUGGAAACUUGGUAAUUUGCGCAAUUGUGCGAACAUUAAGAAUUACAAUUCACUCUAAGGCUUGGAAAAUGAGAAAGAGAUGAAAACACAGAGAUGUAGAUAUAAAUUUUGCAAUUAUCUCGUACGAUACAAGCUGCGUAAUUAGCUCAGCUCGCAUGAAAUUCUCCGCAACUUUAAUACGCGAAUAAAAUUUGUUCAGUACAUUUACUGAAGCGCGUAAUCGCGGAACGGCAAUAAAAUGUUACGACUGCGUCACAUCGGGCUUGAUCUCUUAAUUUCGCGGAUCUGCCUGGUUUUUUCUACCGAUUCACUGUCAUCUCGGUCUCUUUCGGUCGCUAAUCCGCAUGCCGUAAUCGUCGAAAGUAAGGCGCUAGAUUAUCAGAAUGUUGCUCGUCUCCUCUCCAUUUUUAUCUCUGCGAGGAUUAAGACUUUGAACCCUUAUCUUCGUAAAACACGAUGCAUCGGAUCGACGUGUCCUUCGAAGAUCGAGUCUCUAAAAAUAGUGUCCAUCUUUCGCGUUAUGCGAAUGCAGCUCGCGUAUGAUUAUUGUAGCUUAAUAAAGCAAGUGUUGAUAAUCACAGUAUCUAGUAUUAAAUUAAGUUGAGUGGUAUUAACUGUAAAGCGAAAAAUUAACGAGAUAUUUCUAAUAGAUACAAUUUGAUUCUGAUAUUGAUACUUUACGUGGUAAAACUGUUGGUAUACAUAUUUUUUUCUAGUAGGAAAAAUCAUUAUUUUAUGAGACUCGAGAGUUAUGACUCUCGAGUGUGCAAAAAGAAAUGUUUCUUUUCUAGAAAUUUGUUAAUCUAAGAAAGUUAGAGACAUUAAUACCUGAAAAUAUGGUACUAAUUUGGAAAAUUAGGAAAGCGUGGGAAAGUUGGAAAUUUGCAAGUUUAGAAACUUUAAAAAAUAUAAAGGGAGAACAUUUGCGCACGUUUCAGACUUGAGAAACUGGACAUUUUUUGGAAAUCCGCGAAUGCUGAUGUUACUAUGGAUGUUUAUAGCUAACAGCUUGGUCGAAAAUCUUGGUGCGUUAUCGUACAGUCUGCGGCGAACAUUGCCGGCGACGGACAUUAAAACCGCGUCGAUGUCGACUGUCGCGAUCGGGUGUUUUGCGAGUUUUCGCCUCGCCGCACUCUCGUUGUUCGCGUCCGCGGGAUUGAUACGGAGGGAAAUGAGUCUCGUCGUUACGGCCGAUUUUAUCGCGCUCGUCGCGCGGAACGCCGUUUCUGCCUUGAAAUACGAGUCACCGGGUGUGCCGAGUUGCACGAGAGAAACCGGAAUACGAGCGACACCGCGCAAUCGAUACUCCGCGAUGCGGUUGAGUUUAAUGCGUCCCUCAUUAUGUCAAUUAUCGUCUUUUUGAGCGAAAUCGCUUGAUCCCGUUUGUCCUUUGAUCCGGCUUGUCCUACUUUUACUCUGCCGAGACGACCUUUCUCUCUCUCUCUCCAUCUCUCUCUUUCUCUGACUAUUUAAAAUUUGGAAUUUAAAGACGUAUAUAUACAUAAUUACGGUAGAUGAUGAAGUAAUUCCUUUGAGCAUGUUUUUCUUUAUAGCCUUAGAAUCUGUUGACAUUGUAACAUCAAAGGAAAACGUCAAACUAUGAAGUCAGACUGAGAGAAAGAUAAGAUAAAAUGGUACGACGAAUGGAGCAAAGUAAACAUAAUAAGUAAUAAAAUCUAAAGUACGCGCAGUAAAACAACAUCGGCGGUUUAAUUUCUCCGUAUUGACGAGCUAUUGUGCUUGUCACGUUUCCUCUACGCAGCUCUUCUCGAUCUCUUACGUAAUGUCUUCUGCUGGAAAGAGAGCGCAGUUGUGCUCAGAGUACGAUCUUUUAAUCGAGACCGUUACGGAAGAAUCGGGAGCGCCGCGAGUUACAGUUGACGAGAAAGUUUCGCUGUGCGAAAUUUUUUCAAUUAAAAACCGUCGGCGCGUACUGUCCACCGUGCAGCGUAGGCGGUGGAUAGCGGAAGAAGAGGGAACAGAGGGGGUACUUUUAAUUACUGCGGCGUCGUAACGCAUGGCCCGCUUCGGUAUAUAAGACCCGGAGCUAGAAAAAUUCCGACGGCAGCUGCGCGAGCGAAUCUCCCGCGACAUGACGAACCGGGUAGACAGCACGGGGUAGGAAUCCACUGCGAAAUUAGGUGGGAAGCGCGCGUUGCAAUCCCCGCGCUGUAUUUUUACGGCGCGCUUUUUAAUUAGAUUAGAGAGCCGCCGACGAAAACACACGCGGCGUCACGCUUCUCGAACUAAUUUCCAUCGAUUUUCGUUGAAUACUUCAUCAGAAUUGGUCGACAGAAUCUCCAUCACGAGCCUCACAGCGAGAUACAGCGUCGGAACAGGAGACAAUCACGUUCGCUUGCUUGCUUGCAUGCGAAUCCGCGUAGAUGUAAAAAAUCCUGCACUCUCAUGACGGAACUAUAAUGGUUCAGGUUGCGUAAAGGAACGUCGGAUCUUUAAUGGACGCAGUGGUGAACGGUCGCGGAAGAGGCGGCACGAGGAGGAGGCCAGGACGCGCGUAUUUAUAGCGGAUGACGGAGGUCGUCACGUGGGAAUGGACGCGCGGCAUCCAUUGAUGCGAUAAAUGUCGCCGUCGGCCAUUAACGACGCUCGCCUUGCCUCAUAAUCAAUGGGAGAGCCCGACGGCAGCUCUCUGGGGUCUCUCUGGGUUCCACCCCGGGUUUUCCCCCGCUUCCUCUCACCCUCCGUCCCGACCACUCCCGCACUCUCCACCGAGCAGCCGCGCAGGACAAAUUAAUUCUCUCCGUUUUUCUGCCUUCCAAUUACCGUUACCGCCGCUACCGGAUCACGUUGUCUACCCUGAAGAAGAGAGCGGAGUAUUUGGGAGCGGAUCCACUCGUCGAGCUUUCAGCGCCGAGUGGAGAAUGGCGUCGUGAUGCCUGCACGCGACGUGGUAUUUUGUGGCCGCAUAACGGGAAGGGCUAGAUCGCGCAAAUGAUCGUUUUCCGCCGACAACGAUCCGCUGACAAGAUAACGGUCGAUCUCUCUUUGAUUGUCCGCCCAAGCGUACUUGGAACAUUUUUUGUGGAGACAUAAAAAUCUGUGAGGGCUAUUAAACCUUAUUUUAUAAUUCUAGCAAUUAAACUUGGAUUUUUCCAUCACGUUGCUUCGUGCGGAUGCAAUUCCGAAUUUAACGAUAUAUGUACAAGAAUAUCAAACUCUUGAUCAUCUUGCAUCAUAUCUUUUUAAAAAUAAAGAAAGUUGUAUAAAUAAACGAAAGUUCAUUUCUAUAAUUCACAAGCUCCCUUUCCAUCACGGAUGAAUCAAGCGAGUAGAACUGUGACGCAAUUUGCUGUGAAUUUGAUAGAAACUAAUUCGUAAACGUGGACCACACUUAGUAAAGGGAGAAGCCGCGACGAAAGGGGAACCUUCUUUCGAGAGGGAUUCCGAGGCUCGCGUCCGCAUUUAACGAGAUAAUAACCGCGCCAUUACGCAUUUAAUUCCCUGCGUUUAAGAUGCGCGUCAGCGAUAAGACGUGACAAAUAUUGGCCGUAACAGUCGCCCGCCGUGCUGACACGGCCGGCUCGUGGCGCAUGAUGACGCCGAUGAGGAGACCGACCAUGGGUGCGAUGGAAAAAAGGAAUGUGCAGAGCACGAGCACGCGCGCCUCUCAUCGAGAAGGGAUACGACAGCAGAAACCUGUUUCUGUUCAGAUAUCGCCGAUGCUGCGAUCCUACCGAUCGUUUUUUUCCGGCGUAAUUCUUCCUCGUUUGACUUUUGCCAUUCGCGAUUUCGAUAAGGCAAGUGACACCUGAUACGUCCUGUGUAUACAUAUCGAUGUGAUAUGAUCAUAUCGCGUAUAACUGAGCGAACGCACGAGAGAUAAAUUAAGAGAAAUAAAUUUAUAUCUUUUUUACGCAGAAACACGCAAUUUCCCAAAACCGGGGGAGAUGAUAAAAGGAACGAUAUUACACACGCCGAUAAGCAACAUCAGGCUUUUAUGCAUAAAACGCAAUGUUUUAAUCGCGAUUGAAACGGUACAAAUAACAACGCACGUGCGGGCCGACUGUUCUCCUCUUCCAAAUUAAUUUGAUAACUCGUACAAUCAAAGGCGCGCGUCACCCGUUCAUUAAUUGAACUUAAAGUGACGAAGCGUAAGCUUGCACAAUGCUAUAAUAUUGCGCCUCCAGCUUAAUUCGCACGUGCGCGAUUCGAGAUCCGGACGGAGGAGCGCGAAGGACUUUUUCCGAGUUGUCCCGGGACCGGACAAGAAAUUCAAGCCGACCGUGAACCAUGUACGUGGAAAUUAACAGCUUAACUUGGUUACCUAAGAAGAGCUCCCGGUAGUCCCUUGAAAGUGCCACGCGCUCGCGAGCUCGACCCGGAAAUUCGCCGGAGCACGACGGCGAAACUUAACCCAUUAUAUUUCUCCGUACCCCGUCGACCGACCUCCUUCCACCAUAUCCUCUCCGCAAUAUCUACGUCAUUAUUUCCUCCGCGCUGUAUAAUCUCGCGCGACACAUCCCGAGACUUUGGCCGGCCUUCCACAAUCGGUCGUAGGUGUGUAAUUUCGCUUAAAGCACCGAGUGCAUCCGAGGUGUCACCUUACGAUUCUGUGUUAUUCUCGCAAAUAGGAUAUCGCAGAUUUGUCAAUCUUCUUUUCUUUCCGCCCACAUCCUUUGGCAAAUUAAAAUAAAACAAAUAUCUAACCAUUCUAUCCUCAAAACUUUUCAUUUCCGGUGUUAAAUAUUUUACUAAGAAUUUGUAACUGGCUGCAACUUUACGACUGGUGUUAAGAUAUCGAAAUUGGCUAAAAGGUUCUUUGUUUGUUGUUUUUUUGAAUAUUAUUCAGUACCAUCCUUUGAUACUCGACUAAAAUAUCGAUUCAUGUCUUUGCGAGACCCUAUUUUUCUCGGUCGAAAAACCCCGGCGCAAUCAGACUGCAAUCUCUACCGAGAGGAGGAGCAGCGGCGAAGCCCGCGAUAAAAAUUCGCAGCAAGCGGCAAUAAAGCGCAUCAAGCCGCGGCAGCUAAUUGCUGCGCUCGGCAAUAAUCGGCCGCGCGCCGAGCCACGAGCAGCAAUUAUUUUUACGACGAGGAUGAUAUUGUCCAUUUAUUUAGCGGGGCUUGGCGCGCGUCGCGGCACUGCGUUGCCGAUACGGGCGUCCGUGUUAACCCGCGGCGUGACGGUAACGGUCGCAUAAAUUUCCGGUAUUUCCUGCGGUGCCGCGACGACUUUAUUCCGACGAUUCCUCCACGUGAUACUGAUACGUGCGCAGUGUUUUCACCAAUCCGCGAUCUCCUGUGUGAUUAGCGCGAGGAAAGGAAACAGAGUAACGACCAUUGAAUCUAUUUAACCGCGGAGGAAGGAUAACGGUUCGCCAGAAAUAUUUAAUCGGGUACGAACGGUAACGCUAUCCGGGGCGGAGAUCUGACCGCGAGAAUAAAGAUAACGCUAAUCAGAGUUAUUUGAGCAGGUCUGCGCCACAAGCCUGAUGUAACUUUUAAAGUCCGGACUUUUAGGUCCUGAUGUUUCGCAGCACAAAAGUCGCGUCGUUAUAGUGGUCUCGGUUAACUAACUUUUGCUAACUGUGGUGAUAUCCUCGAGUUUCUAAUGAAACUGUUUCGCCUUAAAAAGAUGACUGCGCGCCGCAAAGUGUUUGCGUACUUUGAGAUAAAUAUUUGACUUUUAUUACAUUAGAAAGUAAUGUUAGAAGAGCAGUGUCGCGUUGCAAGGUUCUAUGAGACAUUGCAGAGGAUUACACGCAACUGAAAUAAUUGACGAUCAAUCGACUGAUUCGUGGCCUUGCGGCGCGGGCGAUGAUCAAGAUCGUCGUAGAUGGAAGUCGGUGCGCCACAAAAGACACGUAAGAAGCCGACAGAAAUAAUUACGGUGGAAGUGUAGGCGUGGACUAGGAAAUUACGAGGAAACGCUUAUUAACCGCCACCAGGAGGAUCGCGCAAGCGACAGGGACGACGUGGGCAAGAACCUGAGGAACCAAGACGGAACCAAGGCCUUACUGGUUUUACUCAAUUACUUAUUUGUUAAAAGAACACUACUCAACUUAUCGAUUAAUCGUACAAGAGUAACCUUAUAAAGGCAUUGACUAAAUAGAAAAAUUACGUAGUUUAGAAAAUAUCUAGCUGCCAAAAAUGUAUGUCUCGAAUUAAAAGAAUUGUAUUUGACAAUACUUGAUAAAAAGUGGCAAUUUUUGACAUGAACCAUUUAACCUGGUUAGUUGUACUCUUACGUCAACUUAUGAGCGACUAUUAAUUAAAAUGAAUGACAAUUAGGGUCUCUGAAAAUAUUCCUGGCACUAGCCGAGCCAUGUCGAAAUUUAGAUCUGGCGUUCAGCGUGUUAAUUACUCACGGCUGUUUUACCAUGGCCCCUGGCUCUCAUCGGCGAAACGACGAGGAACACGCAUUCAUCAGAAUCGUAAAUUUUCUAUACGAAUGGUUUAAUGCGCCUACACAAUAAACUACGGAAGAGUGUAUUUAUACGCGCGUAAAGUAUAGAUAAUUUAUAACUAAGCGGAUCAUACUCGGAGGAUAACUUUAUCUAGACUAUGCCAUUUUCCGAAAAUAAAUAAUGAACAUAUUUAUA